GAUGAACGCUAGCGGCAGGCUUAAUACAUGCAAGUCGAGGGGCAGCAGUUUUGUAGCAAUACAGAUGCUGGCGACCGGCAAACGGGUGCGGAACACGUACAGAACCUUCCUUUAAGUGGGGGAUAGCCCAGGGAAACUUGGAUUAAUACCCCGUAAUAUAUAGAAGUGGCAUCACUUUUAUAUUAUAGCUCCGGCGCUUAAAGAUGGCUGUGCGGCUGAUUAGGUAGUUGGCGGGGUAACGGCCCACCAAGCCUGCGAUCAGUAACUGGUGUGAGAGCACGACCAGUCACACGGGCACUGAGACACGGGCCCGACUCCUACGGGAGGCAGCAGUAAGGAAUAUUGGGCAAUGGACGCAAGUCUGACCCAGCCAUGCCGCGUGAAGGAUGAAGGUCCUCUGGAUUGUAAACUUCUUUUAUCUGGGACGAAAAAAGGUCUUUCUAGAUCGUCUGACGGUACCAGAGGAAUAAGCACCGGCUAACUCCGUGCCAGCCGCCGCCGUAACAC
rnacentral:rRNA from 1 species